rnacentral:misc_RNA from 1 species
GGAAAUAAAAGUCGUAACAAGGUUUCCGUAGGUGAACCUGCGGAAGGAUCAUUACAGAGUUCAUGCCCUCACGGGUAGAUCUCCCACCCUUGAAUAUUUAUACCUUAGUUGCUUUGGCAGGCCGUGGAAACACCAUGGGCUCCGGCUUAUGCGUGCCUGCCAGAGGAAACAAACUCUGUUUUUAGUGAUGUCUGAGUACUAUAUAAUAGUUAAAACUUUCAACAACGGAUCUCUUGGUUCUG